rnacentral:rRNA from 1 species
UACUGAGCGGCGGACGGGUGAGUAACGCGUGGGUAACCUGCCUCAUACAGGGGGAUAACAGUUGGAAACGGCUGCUAAUACCGCAUAAGCGCACAGUACCGCAUGGUACGGUGUGAAAAACUCCGGUGGUAUGAGAUGGACCCGCGUCUGAUUAGGUAGUUGGUGGGGUAACGGCCUACCAAGCCGACGAUCAGUAGCCGACCUGAGAGGGUGACCGGCCACAUUGGGACUGGGACACGGCCCAA